UACGUAGGGGGCAAGCGUUGUCCGGAAUCAUUGGGCGUAAAGAGCGUGUAGGCGGCUCGGUAAGUCCGCUGUAAAAGUCAAAGGCUCAACCUUUGAAUGUCAGUGGAUACUGCCGGGCUAGAGUCCGGAAGAGGCGAGUGGAACUCCUGGUGUAGCGGUGGAAUGCGCAGAUAUCAGGAAGAACACCAGUGGCGAAGGCGGCUCACUGGCCCGGUACUGACGCUGAGGCGCGAAAGCGUGGGGAGCAAACAGG
rnacentral:rRNA from 1 species